CAAUGUUUGGUUACCUUCUAGAGUGUCUGAAGAUUGCACAAAAACUGACCUUGACCGGGUGAAACAAAGUUUAGCUGUUUAGAUUUCAUAGAUUGUUUUGUUGCAAGUUGAAAGAGUUGGAAUUCAUGCGAAACGCUGUAUACAACAUGGAUCGUGUUAGGGUAUAAAAAUUGAUUUCAUCAAACAAAACAAUGCUACAUUUUAUCUCUGGGACCCUCAGGAUGACAAAUCAGAGCAAGAUUACUGAAUGUGACCAUGCCAUUUCACCCUCCUGUGACUCACCUGCUGUUCUCCACGAGGUAGAGCACGAUCUUGUCCAGCACCUUCUCGAUGAGGGCCGUGCGGAUCCAAAGGUUUCUGACCACCUGCGGGCUGAGGCUGGGCAGCCUGGACAGUAUCCGUAAGCUAUCCUGGUUGGGCAAACUUUGGUUCCGUCUGCAACGUAGAAACAGAGGAGAGGGAGGAACUGAGCUCCUGAGCCUUCCUGCACAGCUCCUCUGCCGGGGCGAAGCUCUUCCCCACCUUCAUAAAGAGCGCUGCUAUCUUGUUGCUACGCAGGAAUCCCGCCGCUCGCCGCUUAAGCCCAUGGAGAACGCACGCCUCCACCGCAG